rnacentral:rRNA from 1 species
CCUUGAGGAGUGGCUUCCGGAGCUAACGCGUUAAGUCGACCGCCUGGGGAGUACGGCCGCAAGGUUAAAACUCAAAUGAAUUGACGGGGGCCCGCACAAGCGGUGGAGCAUGUGGUUUAAUUCGAUGCAACGCGAAGAACCUUACCUACUCUUGACAUCCAGAGAACUUAGCAGAGAUGCUUUGGUGCCUUCGGGAACUCUGAGACAGGUGCUGCAUGGCUGUCGUCAGCUCGUGUUGUGAAAUGUUGGGUUAAGUCCCGCAACGAGCGCAACCCUUAUCCUUUGUUGCCAGCGAUUCGGUCGGGAACUCAAAGGAGACUGCCAGUGAUAAACUGGAGGAAGGUGGGGAUGACGUCAAGUCAUCAUGGCCCUUACGAGUAGGGCUACACACGUGCUACAAUGGCAUAUACAAAGAGAAGCGACCUCGCGAGAGCAAGCGGACCUCAUAAAGUAUGUCGUAGUCCGGAUUGGAGUCUGCAACUCGACUCCAUGAAGUCGGAAUCGCUAGUAAUCGUGGAUCAGAAUGCCACGGUGAAUACGUUCCCGGGCCUUGUACACACCGCCCGUCACACCAUGGGAGUGGGUUGCAAAAGAAGUAGGUAGCUUAACCUUCGGGAGGGCGCUUACCACUUUGUGAUUCAUGACUGGGGUGAAGU